UGCAGUCGACGAUGAACCUCACUUGUGGGGGGAUUAGUGGCGAACGGGUGAGUAACACGUGAGUAACCUGCCCUUGACUCUGGGAUAAGCCUGGGAAACCGGGUCUAAUACUGGAUACGACCUUCCCGCGCAUGCGGUGUUGGUGGAAAGCUUUUGCGGUUUUGGAUGGACUCGCGGCCUAUCAGCUUGUUGGUGGGGUAAUGGCCUACCAAGGCGACGACGGGUAGCCGGCCUGAGAGGGUGACCGGCCACACUGGGACUGAGACACGGCCCAGACUCCUACGGGAGGCAGCAGUGGGGAAUAUUGCACAAUGGGCGCAAGCCUGAUGCAGCGACGCCGCGUGAGGGAUGAAGGCCUUCGGGUUGUAAACCUCUUUCAGUAGGGAAGAAGCUGGCCUUUUGGGUUGGUGACGGUACCUGCAGAAGAAGCGCCGGCUAACUACGUGCCAGCAGCCGCGGUAAUACGUAGGGCGCAAGCGUUAUCCGGAAUUAUUGGGCGUAAAGAGCUCGUAGGCGGUUUGUCGCGUCUGCCGUGAAAGUCCGGGGCUUAACUCCGGAUCUGCGGUGGGUACGGGCAGACUAGAGUGCAGUAGGGGAGACUGGAAUUCCUGGUGUAGCGGUGAAAUGCGCAGAUAUCAGGAGGAACACCGAUGGCGAAGGCAGGUCUCUGGGCUGUAACUGACGCUGAGGAGCGAAAGCAUGGGGAGCGAACAGGAUUAGAUACCCUGGUAGUCCAUGCCGUAAACGUUGGGCACUAGGUGUGGGGGACAUUCCACGUUUUCCGCGCCGUAGCUAACGCAUUAAGUGCCCCGCCUGGGGAGUACGGCCGCAAGGCUAAAACUCAAAGGAAUUGACGGGGGCCCGCACAAGCGGCGGAGCAUGCGGAUUAAUUCGAUGCAACGCGAAGAACCUUACCAAGGCUUGACAUGAACCGGAAAUGAUG
rnacentral:rRNA from 1 species